AACGAACGCUGGCGGCAUGCCUAACACAUGCAAGUCGAACGAGACCUUCGGGUCUAGUGGCGCACGGGUGCGUAACGCGUGGGAACCUGCCCUUAGGUUCGGAAUAACUCCCCGAAAGGGGUGCUAAUACCGGAUAAUGUCUUCGGACCAAAGAUUUAUCGCCUUUGGAUGGGCCCGCGUUGGAUUAGCUAGUUGGUAGGGUAAAAGCCUACCAAGGCGACGAUCCAUAGCUGGUCUGAGAGGAUGAUCAGCCACACUGGGACUGAGACACGGCCCAGACUCCUACGGGAGGCAGCAGUGGGGAAUAUUGGACAAUGGGCGAAAGCCUGAUCCAGCAAUGCCGCGUGAGUGAUGAAGGCCUUAGGGUUGAAAAGCUCUUUUAGCCGGGAUGAUAAUGACAGUACCGGGAGAAUAAGCUCCGGCUAACUCCGUG
rnacentral:rRNA from 1 species